GCGCCGGCCUUUGAUAAGAGCUGGGCGGCUCAGCUUUGAGAAAAAGUCAGCUGGAAGGACAACAGAGCAAGAAGUCCGGCCAGAAGGCCCGAAUCUACCUCUUUACAGUUCACGUGGGUAGGAACUAAAGCGCAGAGAAGUUGGGGAGCGCGCUCGGGAUCCUGCAGCAGGUGGCAAAGCACAGACACCCCAAACGGGAAUCUGGAAUUCAAGACUGGACUCCUCGCCAGUCCAGAGCUCUUUGUUGCCCCUUGUGCCGCUCAGAACCUGUGUUGGGUCUGCACAGCUUCCUUCUCCGUGCGAGGCCGAAGGGAGGACAACCCGCGCCUACAGGCACCGGGCCGCUCGGUCCAGGGUUUAACGAAUGGCUCAGGCCAAGAGCUUGAGAAGCUUCCUGGUGGCCUGCACUCUGUCGUCAGCCCUCCCCGGAUGGUUUCCACCAUUCCCAUCAUUCCCGUUUCACAGACGGGAAAGUCCUCGCCGACUCUCCAGUUCCAGGUGUAGGCCUCAUCGGAUCUACUGAAGACCUUGACGGAACAAAACCUGACCCUUCUCCUUCAAGCAAGAUGGAAGUCUAAUCUAUGAGUUUGUGUGAUGCCUCAGGACUGAAUGAGACAUCAGCUUAUGCCUGUCCUCCAGGUUGCUGGCACAGCCCAUAAAGACUUUGGACUUGCUAGCUUUCAAGACUGUAAAGAGCCAGUUCCUUGAAAUAAGUCUCUGUACAGCCUGUUGCUUUUGCUUUUUUGUUUUAUUUCUCUUUAAGAGAGGGGGGGCUUCUGGCUCAGGCUACAGGUGACAGUGAGAUGCGUCACCAUUUAUUUUCAUGGUUAGAUUGAUGUCCUAACACCUUAUCUCAUGUACCAUGUGCUCGCUUUGUUUUGCUUUUGAGACAAGCCUCCCUAGGUAAAGCUAGUCCAGGCUACCCCAGCUGAAGAUCCUUCUGCUUCGGCUUCCUUGUUGCCAUUACAUCCCUGUGCUACCAUGUUUGGCUUCCAUGGACUUUUCUUUUUCUAGAAUCGUUUACCAGGAUUUACCAGGUAAAAUUUCAUUUUGCCUAUAACCAUAGCAUAGGUUUGAGAAGUAAGAGCUGCUGAAUUUAAGUGAAAUCUGUGAUGUCAACCUGUGUUCAAACAGUCUAGCCUGGGCUGCAGGCUCUGGACCUGGUUGGGUCAGAGGAUAAUAGAAUGCAGCGGAUGCCAGGGAAGUCUGGGCUCUGGGACAGGCUUCCUGCAUCAUCUUUCUUAGUUCUUGGGCUCACUAGAAUCCAUCCGCAUGAUCCUCUUGAUUCCUUUCUUUGCUCUAACUACCCUUCAUCCAGAACGACCUGGCCUACGUUGCUCAUCCAUGUGACAAGGAGCUGCCAUUUCCAUUAAAAAUGUUUCCUUUUUA